UUGCAUCACUGCUGCGUAACAUUUUGCGCCCCUAGGCAACUACACUGAUGCAGGUACCUUUUGCAAAUGGUCGCAUGCGAUUGGACACAUGGAGGAGAGAAUCAUUUUCGCAGUAUCCUCAAAACCAUGUACUUUUGACACAACUUCUGACAGCUACAGGGACAUAAACACAACAAAAAUGCUGAUUGGAGACAAGUGUCCACGAUAGUAGGAUUGCCAGGUCAGUUUAGUAGUAAGCUUGUGCUAGAUGUGGCUAGUUAGCGUUAGCUAGCUAGCUAACCUAGCCAAUGAGGUGUGUGUGUUAAAGAAAUAGUCAAAUAAAUUAUGCUAGUUACUACCCCUGAUAAGUACCAAAUAAUCAUGUUUGAAAGAGUGUGUAUGCUAUAUAAAUAGUAAUAGAAAUGGUCGAUACUACUGUACCCCUGAUAAUUUGGUCAGAUAACCCUGUGUGUGUGUGUCUAUGUGUACAGUAGGUGACAUGUCCAUGAUAGCUAUCUAAUAACUAUAGUUAUGCUAGGUAAUGGUUUGGCUUAUCAUGUUCAUGUCUAUGUAGAAGAAGACUGUAGGAGGAAGUGGAGAGGACUCAGGGACAGGUAUCAGAGAGAGAGAAGGGCAGAGAAAGAGAAGAGGUCUGGGUCAGCAGCUUCAGGCCAGCAGCCUUGGCGCUUCUGCCACAUUCUUUCUUUUCUGGAUCCAUUUAUUGUGCCUAGGGCAAUGAGUGGCAAUUUUACAGCCAGACCCUCUACUACGUCAUCCACAAGUGUUGUUGCCACCGGCGCAUCAAGACCCUCAACGUCACCUACAAAUGCGACCAUCACCUCCACGAGUAUGACCACUACCGGUGCAGCCAUGGAAGACGAUGAAAUGGAGGAAGCACCUCUGGAUCUAGGACCACCUGAGAUAAUUAUGAACCUCACGGAAGUGACCACUGAGGACCUCGUUGAACAGGAUGUGGCCGUGGAGAGAGACAGAAACUAAGAGAAACAACGUCACACCAGGCGUCAUCGGAGGUACCAGCCCCCAGAUCCACUCAACUCAUUUCAGCAGAGGCUCUCCUCCAAGACGUCGAGAGGGAUGCAGCCCAACCUGAUGCUCACAGGAAGGAGGAUGAAGAGACCCUCUUUGCCAUGAGCCAGGUGCCAACACUGAAGAGGCUGCCUCAGCAAAGAAAAGCAGCAGUCAAGGUUAAAAUGUAUCAGCUGCUUUUCGAAGCCGAGUUCAAUGAAAUGGAGUCGAUUUAGCCGACCAGCUCACAGGAAGGACAGGAAGAGGAGUUGUCUGGUUGUUGUUUUGACCUCCCUCAUUGUACCUUUCUUUUCACACACGUCAGUUCUGUUUAAAUUCAGUCAAUACAUAAAGUAAUUUGUUUAUAAAGUCUUAGGAUAGCUUUCAUUAUUAGUGUUGCAUAGAUUUCUGAAUUGAAACUCAUACGUAGUUUUCACAGAUGCUCUUGGUCUCUUACGAGACUAAAGGUCAAUAUAUUUAUUUCAUUUAAAACCACUUGAAAACCAGGGUGUUGAAACAUUUUGUGAAGUUAUGUUCCAUCGACUGGUCCGUGACGUCCAGGGGCCAUUUGUUUGUUUAGCUGUCUUAUGGCUACAUAUUAUUCCCUUUUUCUCAGAGACAGAGACACACACACACCUCUUCGUACCUCAGAUCUCCAGUGCCCUGCCCUCUCUCUCUUUAUGGCCAUGUCUGAAGUUCCCCUACUAAGUCUAGGCUUUAUGAGUAGUCCCUGUAUCGGUCUGCAGUUGUGCCAAAAAUACAUGCUCUUGCUGUUCUCUUACAGAUUACAGGCUACACAUUCAUUUAAAACAAAUAAUAAUAAUUUACACGCACGUACACACCUCUUUCAGUAGUUUUAUUUUUUUUUAAACAUUUUUACAACACACUGUUGUUCUUGUCAUGUUCUUUCCUGUACUUGAAUACUUAUUCAAUUAUAAUGUUUUCAUAGUCAGUUGUUUAUUAAUAUCUAAUUUAGACUUAAUCUGCUUAUUUCUUCCCAACACCUUUGCUGAUCUAAGACAAGAUGAAAGUAAAAGCACAUUCUCUUCCUAAUUAGUUUUUUUACCACCUGUAUUUUGUCAGGCCAGUGAACAUGGUGGUAAACUGUACUAUUUGUAUGGACCCUAGGUUACCCUUUCCCUUUGUUAUCAUACUAACUGUAUGUCGUAUAACCUUAAUUAGUGCUCCCGCUCACCUGGUGUACCAUGCCAGGUGUGUAUAAUACUGACGUUAAUGGGAGAGGGACGGGGUUAAGGUGUGGUCUUUACUCCCAAAUUUCACUUAAAUAUGGCAUCCAAAUGAAUAGAGACAAUGAUACAUAAAGUCAUCUGGGGGGAAAAAUGCAAUUUUAUGGACAACGGUGGAUGGUUCUUAAAAUAACCUUUGUGUUAUGGGGCUCUUAAAUUACCUCCGCAGGUAUUUGUGGAGAAUACGUGGCCUUCACGCAGGCUUCGACAUUUGAGGGGCUGAGACCAAGCACUCUCCGAUACAUUCUCCAUCGGGCUGCCAGAAUCCCAGAGGCGCAUUCAACAACUAACCCUGGACAGUUGUUUGUUAAAGAUCCUUACAGGCUUUGGCAAUGGCAGCUGACGUCCAGCGUAGGGCCUCAUGAGGUUGGGUCUUAAAGGGAAGGCCUCAUCGCCGACGAAGACGUGGGGAACAGGUCCCAGGUCUUCAGCCCCAGGGAGUGAUGCAGGUGGUGGAAUAUCCAGGGUGCCAUCCUGAAGUGCCUGGCCAAAGGCAGAGUCCCGGAGGGUCCCGCCAUCACUUCCCUUGCCUUGUAGAAUUGGGAACCUGAGCACGGUGGAGCCUGGAUUACUACAUGUUUCCCGUCAAAUGGAGCCAAGACAGUUGGGGAAAUUCCACCUCUCUAGGAACUCGGCAGCGAUGGCCCUCCAGUCUUCCUCCUUGGGGACA